rnacentral:rRNA from 1 species
AGCGAACGCUGGCGGCAGGCUUAACACAUGCAAGUCGAACGGGCACUUCGGUGCUAGUGGCAGACGGGUGAGUAACACGUGGGAACGUACCUUUCGGUUCGGAAUAAUUCAGGGAAACUUGGACUAAUACCGGAUACGCCCUUCGGGGGAAAGAUUUAUCGCCGAUAGAUCGGCCCGCGUCUGAUUAGCUAGUUGGUGAGGUGAUGGCUCACCAAGGCGACGAUCAGUAGCUGGUCUGAGAGGAUGAUCAGCCACAUUGGGACUGAGACACGGCCCAAACUCCUACGGGAGGCAGCAGUGGGGAAUAUUGGACAAUGGGCGCAAGCCUGAUCCAGCCAUGCCGCGUGAGUGAUGAAGGCCUUAGGGUUGUAAAGCUCUUUUGUCCGGGAAGAUAAUGACUGUACCGGAAGAAUAAGCCCCGGCUAACUUCGUGCCAGCCGCCGCGGUAACAC